GCGGAAGUAGCUCAGUUGAUAGAGCAUUAGCCUUCCAAGCUGAGGGUCGAGGGUUUGAGCCCCGUCUUCCGCU
rnacentral:tRNA from 1 species